GUUAGCUGUCCACCAGCGCCCUCCGAGGCACGUCCCCGCAACGGUGCCUCGAGGGUCUUCCUGCCUGUGCGCUGCUAUGAAAGGGGGUUGACAAGGACGGCCCUCUGGACGUGUGCGAGCAUCAGAGUGUUGUCGUUCCCGUCCACCCGGGGUGCCAGUGUGACUUGACCUCACGACGGGAGAAAGGGUAGAAAGAAACCCCCCUAAAACCCAGAUUGAGAACGCGGUGUUGUAAAAAAAAAAAAAAAAGAACCGGCUCGGGAAACGUUUCUCGUCGGGGCGACAAUCAGUCCCUUCCCUCCGGUGGAAUGAGGUUCAUGAGAGUGGUCCUUGAAGCUUCCCAGGACCUUUAAGGAGUGGGACUGGCUGGAGAGAGGAGGAACCACGGCUUUCCUAGAAAGGACUUCAAGUGCUUCCUGUGAAAGAAAGGAUCUGAUACAUGUUUCAAAACCUUAAUAACCAUCUUACAACCAUACCUUUGUUUCAAAAGUGUUGUUAUGGCUACCUUGUUAUGACUACCUAUUGCUACAACUACCUUGCAGUCUUUGUUUCGGGAGGUUGCUAAGAGCUUGCUAUGCUUAUGUUCUGCUUUUGUAACCCCUCCUAUUUUGCCCACCAACCCCCCCCACUUGGAAACCCCCUACUGCUGAGCUAUAAAAGCCUUGUCUUGUUCACAUCCGAUGUUGAACUCUAAAACCCCAUCUUAGGAGAAGGCAGCUGGUGUACAUGAAUAAAAAAAGCUUGCUUUAAUUAA